rnacentral:rRNA from 1 species
UGAGUAACCUGCCCUUAACUCUGGGAUAAGCCUGGGAAACUGGGUCUAAUACCGGAUAUGACUCCUCAUCGCAUGGUGGGGGGUGGAAAGCUUUUUUGUGGUUUUUGGAUGGACUCGCGGCCUAUCAGCUUGUUGGUGAGGUAAUGGCUCACCAAGGCGACGACGGGUAGCCGGCCUGAGAGGGUGACCGGCCACACAGGGACUGAGACACGGCCCAGACCUCCGUACGGGAGGCAG